rnacentral:rRNA from 1 species
UGAAACUGCGAAUGGCUCAUUAAAACAGUUAUAAUUUAUUUGAUAGUACCUUACUACUUGGAUAACCGUGGUAAUUCUAGAGCUAAUACAUGCUAAAAACCUCGACUUCGGAAGGGGUGUAUUUAUUAGAUAAAAAACCAAUGC